UUGACCUGUAUUUUCAUGAAAGAAAUACAAGUACCUUCUGAACGAAUACCAUACAAAUACUGUGCCAAUGUAGGUAACACUGAAGAAUGGUAAAACUGUUAGGUUAACAUGGCACAAUCGCUGCCUGCAUGCAUGCAUAUACGUACUCCGUAUAUGCAUACCCAACCUUCAAAAUGUUUGUCCUGCCUAUGAUCUUACCGGUUGACAUGGAUGUAUACCCCUAAGUUAUCAGCACAAUUUAAGUAUGAGACUAUCAGAGACUAGAAUUAAUGGAUGCGUCCCGCCAUGGUAUAUAUCUACCGUACCUAUCAUAUGAUUUACAACUGGCGACGGACUCCUACCAGUCAUAAUUUACCGAUGUUCCGCAAUGAGACAACUACAAACUAGACAUCUCUAUAUGACCAAUCUCCCCAGCAAGACUACAUAAGAGAGUCAAGUUACAUGUGUAGUCCGACAGGGUUCUUGAUUAGGGUAAAUGGGUGUCUUGGCGUGCAGAUAUCAUGUGGCAGAACCAGUGUAGGUCAUGCAACGUAUAACAGGGAUCCCAUUGAGCAGCAGUUCGGGAAGUCGGAAAACAGCACCUGGGAGGACGGGAAAGAGAUGGUAGGCUUUGGCAGCUUCCUGUUGUGUAUAUUGAGGGGUAUGUAGACCGGUCUCCCCUUGUAUUGUAGACGAUGAUUACCCGGACGGAUUGGUCCCCAUACAUUCAACGAAGCAGAAUCGAUCUUAAUGCUUUAGCGUCUUGGUGUGAUUAUUCGAGGAGACUGUUCACCUCUUAAGUAUUGAAGUUCAUAUCAUCAACAAAUCCCCGCCUCUGAAACAGAAGAAUGCCAACCCUUUGUUGCGGGUUGUCUUCCUAUUUCGGCAAUAACUCGUUCCAGCACCUCGCCGAUAUUUCCUCAAGACUGCUCUCCACAUCUCGCGGCAUGUUGUUAUUAAUCUUUAAUUAAGUUACGAAUUGCGAUAUUUCAACUAUUUGUCACAGAGUUCUCCAUAUGGGAAGUAGAUAUGAAGCACUCAUGCACGACAUGAAGCCUGAAUAUUUGGGCAUCGUGGGUCGAACGGAGGGGACCAUUGACAGGGGUGUGUCCCUGUACUCAAUUAGGAAAUAUAUCAACAUACCUUAAUACUGUGUACUAAUAAUACUCAUGCUACGUAGGAUCUAGCUAUGUAGUAUGUAUCAUUUAUUAAAGUCCCGUUUAUAUCUAAGUUGCUGUCUUAUGACUCGAUCCUAAGACUCGAGCCGGGUACCGUUGAUACCAUCGGGUUAAAUUAGGGCUUGUGGUCAAGCGUACUACCUGGUGACCAGGUUUUGAGCUAAACAAUACUCCACGAUCAACUCACUUGAAACCGUGCGGCUUCUUGGAUCUACACACCAACCCUAUUAUCGGCAAUGAUCAACUGACUACGGUCUUCUCCGUAUAUCCGGAGAAUGAGAAUGACGCUCAGACUAUUUGCAUCUGAUUCCCUGCUUUCUGCGACGCCUCCGCAGAAUACUCAACAGCUAAGAUUCACCGGCAUAUUUUUUUUAAAAAAAACAAAAAUCAAAAAUCAAAAAUCAAGCGGCCGAUUUUUUGGCCCUUUUUGUUCUGACUAGCGCACUAGUAGUUGUCCCCAACGAUAUUUCGGAAUAUGGUUUCCAGGAUAAGAGGCUGAUGAGAUGAGUGGCUGGUUUGAAUAGUGAUCUGUCAUUGAUAGAGAUAUCUCCUAGGGAGUCCGGCAAAUUAGACUAGAUUCGCCUUGAAGAAGAUUAGGCAGCAUUUUCCAGUGGGACUGAGAAAUGGAAGACUGAAGAUAAACUUGGUGCUUGAUAGACUGCUGAUCGAGCAGUUCGAGUUGACUAAAUUAUGAGCUAGGAGAACUAGUUAACUAGCUUACUACAUACUCUGUAGUUAACUUAGUUACUGUGUAAAGUAUUUGACUAACAAAGCCCAGUUCAAGCCACAGGCUGCCUAGCUAGGGGUACUACGUAUGUAUAUGUCAGGUGAAGAACCUAUGCUUUUAUCAGCAUUCGGCCUUUGAGCCGAGUGCAUCCCUACGCCCUGGUUUGGUGAACGAACCUAUCCCAACGCUUAGUACGGAGACUUACGGAAUGCUACGAGUACAUAACUACGUCACCAUAUGAUUCUUAAACCUUCGGCCCAUUGUGGAAUAUCUGAAACGAGUCGUAAGUUUCUCGAUUUGUGGAAUGUUAAAACUUCGCCCUAUCCGUCUUACGUACAUCGAAAUUAAACAUUUUGCAAACAUUCGUUACUAAAGAUAAGGCGGAAAAAAAUCUCAAGUCUUCAGUCCGUAUCAAGGGGGAUAUCCGGCAUGCCGGAGUAACAACGGAGACUCCGGAUGUUAUGUAGUGUGUAGUAGAAACCUGAACUAACUAGCCCAACUUGCAUACAAUCUUCAACGGCUUUGGUGGAGAUUUUGGGAACAAGACACACCAAAAAGAAUACAUUUGCUUACAAAAAAAUUCCAACCAAGUUUCUGAGUGGCCGACAAAAAAAACGAAGAAAAGCUUUGUUCAAAAUUGUUCAAUGUUCGGUACAAGGGAGCAUUGGAUAAUUUUGGCUAGCAGAGUGGUGUUCGCCAUCCAGGUUAUUCGAGAACCGCCUUACGAUUUGAGUUAGUUUAUUUGACUUUCGUGAAUUAAAUUUUUUUCUUUUUCUUUUCUUUUUUCAUCGUGACGAUCCACGAUGUGACGGAACAUGUCCGGCUCCGUAAUGAUUACCCUUAGAUUGUUACAAGUUACAACCCAUGAAUUUGCCACUCGCGUGGCCAUCGAAGAUCAUGCGCGGCGUCAACUCAAAAUUAGGAAGACUGCUACGUAAGGUAUUCUUCCGGACUAGGAAAGAGCUAGUAUUGAUACACUCAUACUACGUAGUAGACAAUGCUUUCAGUAUUACGAAGCCCCAUAGUUAUUAUGUAUUAUGUUACGUGAAUAACAUGAUACAUCGUCGUCUUGCGAGUUCAUGGUCUACAGAAAUUGAAAUUCUAGGCACUCGUCCUUGUUUCCUAUUUGUUUGCAUGUUAAUUGAAUUUGUAUCAAUUGUCCUAUGUAAAGCAUCGGUUUCCAAUAAUGCCAAUAUCGGCACUCCGAUUCUGCAGGGGUAACAACGAAUAGCAAGCCCGUCGCAAGUCAGAGAACGGACAGGCAGCCCAAGCAUUUUUGACAUCUGCAGGGUAGUAUCAAAGAGAAAAAAGUACGGAGUAGGGCACGUAAUAAAAAUCGGUUAAUC
rnacentral:lncRNA from 1 species